rnacentral:misc_RNA from 1 species
GAAAACAAUGCACUUAUUGUGAAAGUGGACACAGAUGAUGAAUACGAAUUUGCACGAGAUAUGCAGGUUCGAGGACUACCUACGUUGUAUUUCAUAAGUCCAGAUUCAAGUAAGGAUGCUAUCAGAACUGAAGGGCUCAUCCCGAUACAAAUGAUGCGGGACAUCAUUGAUAAUGAUUUAUGAUGAAUAAUUCAGUUGGUUCUUUGUUAGUGGAAUCCAUUGCUCUUUGCUGUAGUUGUGAAGCUGCCUUUUAUUAGUUCGUAGUGAUGUACCAAUAUGUGGAUCUCAACAUAAUUUUUUAGCAAUUUCCUU